UGGGGAAUUUUGCACAAUGGAGGAAACUCUGAUGCAGCGACGCCGCGUGAGUGAUGAAGAUCUUCGGAUUGUAAAACUCUGUCCUUAGUGAAGAUAAUGACAGUAACUAAGAAGCAAGCCCUGGCUAAAUACGUGCCAGCAGCCGCGGUAAUACGUAUGGGGCAAGCGUUGUCCGGAAUUAUUGGGCGUAAAGGGUACGUAGGCGGUUUAAUAAGUCCUAAUUAAAAGGCUAUGGCUCAACCAUAGUAUGGUUAGGAAACUGUUGAACUUGAGUAGAUGAGGGGAAAGUGGAAUUCCAUGUGUAGCGGUGAAAUGCGUAGAUAUAUGGAGGAACACCAAUGGCGAAGGCAACUUUCUGGAAUCAAACUGACGCUGAGGUACGAAGGCGUGGGAGCAAACAGG
rnacentral:rRNA from 1 species